UCGAGAAUCAUUCACAAUGGGCGAAAGCCUGAUGGUGUGACGCCGCGUGGAGGAUGAAGGUCUUCGGAUUGUAAACUCCUGUCAUGUGAGAGUAAAGCCGGACGUUAACUGCGUGCCGGUCUGAGAGUAUCACAAGAGGAAGAGACGGCUAACUCUGUGCCAGCAGCCGCGGUAAUACAGAGGUCUCAAGCGUUGUUCGGAAUCACUGGGCGUAAAGGGUGCGUAGGCCGCACGGUAAGUCAGGUGUGAAAGCCCGGAGCUCAACUCCGGAAUUGCACCCGAUACUGCCGUGCUUGAGGACUGGAGAGGAGUCUGGAAUUCACAGUGGAGCAGUGAAAUGCGUAGAUAUUGUGAGGAACACUAGUGGCGAAGGCGAGACUCUGGACAGUUCCUGACGCUGAGGCACGAAGGCCAGGGGAGCAAACGGGAUUAGAUACCCCCGUAGUCC
rnacentral:rRNA from 1 species